GAUGAACGCUGGCGGCGUGCCUAAUACAUGCAAGUCGAGCGAACAGACGAUGAGCUUGCUCCCUUGACGUUAGCGGGGGACGGGUGAGUAACACGUGGAUAACCUACUUAUAAGACGGGGAUAACAUCGGGAAACCGGAGCUACUACCACAGCAUAUAUUCUACCGCAUGGUGCAAUAGUGAUAGACGGCUUUCCCGUCACUUAGAGCUGAUGCCGCGCCGCAUUGGCUACUUGGUAAGGGAACAGCCUACCAAGGCAACGAUGCGUAGCCGACCUGAGAGGGUGAUCGGCCACACUGGAACUGAGACACGGUCCAGACUCCUACGGGAGGCAGCAGGAGGGAAUCUUCCGCAAUGGGCGAAAGCCUGACGGAGCAAAGCCGCGUGAGUGAUGAAGGUCUUCGGAUCGUAAAACUCUGUUAGUAGGGAAGAACAAGUGUGUAAGUAACUAUGCACGUCUUGACGGUACCUAGUCAGAAAGCCACGGCUAACUACGUG
rnacentral:rRNA from 1 species